UAGUCAAAGUAGUGUGAUUGAUUAACGAGGAGAUGAGUGGUGGCUGAUGUGUACUUGACAUGAUUUUCGAUUUCUUUUAAGUAUUUCUCACUCCCACUGGUCUUUCUUUAGGAAUCAUGCUCAUUUAUUUAAAAAUAAUACUCUCUCUGUCCCUCCCAUUUCUUAUGGUUGGACACGGAGGUUAAGAAAUAUGUAUAAAAUAGUGAAAAAGAGAAAGAAAAAUGGGUGAAAUGGUAGGACCCAUUGAUUUUUAAUGUAUAAAAAGAAAAUAGUGGAGUAAAAGUAGUGUGAAAAGUGAAGAAGUAAUGGGACUCAUUGACUAUUUUAAGUAAAUUUUGAAAUGUAAAGAAUUGAAUGGGACAUCCAAAAAAAAAGUGUAAAAAAAUGGGAGGAACGGAGAGAGUAGUACACAAAAAUAAAUCUCGUGCGAUCAGGAUUAUGUCAAUAGGAGGUGUUUGGACAGGUUUGGCCGUUUGGGUAUUGUUUAAUAUGGACUUAACAUUGUGGUAGAGCAUCUCAGACCAUUAGAGUUUUUAGCUGAAAAUUGAGCUUGUAUACGAAAAAGAAAUAUAGUCAACUACCUCAUUGACGUUGUUGGUGUUAUGCAACGAGUAGAUCCAAUCCUUACCUACACCAACAGAUAUAAUCAGCAGAAAUCAAGCAUCAAGUUUACAAUCAAUGAUAUCAGUGCUCCAACAGAAGUUACAUUCCACGAUGAAGUGGCUGAUUCUUUUCAACAGCAGCUUAAUCAAACUGAUGAACAUCCAAUAAUUGUUAUCAUCUCAAGUUGUAAAUCUACUUUCAUUCAAGGUGAACCAAAAUUAACAAACAGGUCGGCAACAAGGUUCUUCAUCAACCAUGAUCAUGAGGCGGUGGAGGAAUUGAGAAACGCAGUCAG